rnacentral:rRNA from 1 species
CAUACCGCUGGUGUACCAGUUGUUCCGCCAGGAGCAUAGCUGGGUAGCUACGUAUGGAAAGGAUAAGUGCUGAAAGCAUCUAAGCAUGAAGCCCCCCUCAAGAUGAGACUUCCCAUCAUUUUAAAUGAGUAAGAUCCCUCAGAGACGAUGAGGUUAAUAGGUUUGAGGUGGAAGCGUGGCGACACGUGGAGCUGACAAAUACUAAUCGAUCGAGGACUUAACUAAAUU